rnacentral:rRNA from 1 species
ACGCUCGACACCUACGGGAGGCGGCAGUGGGGAAUAUUGCACAAUGGGGGAAACCCUGAUGCAGCGACGCCGCGUGAGCGAAGAAGUAUUUCGGUAUGUAAAGCUCUAUCAGCAGGGAAGAAAAUGACGGUACCUGACUAAGAAGCCCCGGCUAACUACGUGUCAGCAGCCGCGGUAAUCUGAGCGGGCUGGCAAGGC